CAUGCCACGCCAUAACAAAAAGAAGAAGAACUCGUCUACAUUUCGGUGACCUAUUUUCGGCAGUCAGUGUUGAUGGAUAGCCUGCUGGAGUAAUCGCUCUGGACUUCAUAAGAACCAUGGUACAAUGGGACCAGUGAUACCAUGGUCCGCCAUUGAGUCACCAUAGUGCGCAGAGCCCCCGGCGGAUGCAGAUGUGCAAUCAUGUGGAGAUGUCCGAGUGACCGCCUUCAGCAUUUGCUCAAGGGCACCAUGUCAGUGCCAAGUCACUGGCACCUCUCCAGCAACCAGCCCCCCUCCAGCCCUCAAGUACAGCACCAAAUGACCAACUGCUGAGUUGUGGUUAUUAUUAUUAGACGACACACACGCCUCAUAGCAAA